AUGGCUCAGGAUGAACGCUGGCGGCGUGCCUAACACAUGCAAGUCGAACGGGGUUAAGCAGAAUUUCGGAUGGAAGCUAACUAGUGGCGGACGGGUGAGUAACGCGUGGAUAACCUGCCUCACACAGGGGGAUAGCAGCUGGAAACGGCUGGUAAUACCGCAUAAGACCACAGCAUCGCAUGAUGCAGCGGUAAAAGAUUUAUCGGUGUGAGAUGGAUCCGCGUCUGAUUAGCCAGUUGGCGGGGUAACGGCCCACCAAAGCGACGAUCAGUAGCCGGCCUGAGAGGGUGAACGGCCACAUUGGGACUGAGACACGGCCCAAACUCCUACGGGAGGCAGCAGUGGGGAAUAUUGCACAAUGGGCGCAAGCCUGAUGCAGCAACGCCGCCGUGAGUGAAGAAGUAUUUCGGUAUGUAAAGCUCUAUCGGCAGGGAAGAAAGGCCCAUUAAGGGAGAUGACGGUACCUGACUAAGAAGCCCCGGCUAACUACGUGCCAGCCGCUGC
rnacentral:rRNA from 1 species